rnacentral:lncRNA from 1 species
CCUGUCUGUGGAUGGCACGGCACGUGCACUGACACCCACCUGCACACACAUGCACAGAUGUCCACACACACAUAUGCAGACACAACUGUAUACACACACGUGCUCACACACAUGUUGACGCACACACACAUGCACUGGGUUCUACGUUGCACUCUCCUGGAUUUAUAGGUGAAGAAUUUUUAUGUAGAUCUUCUGCCAUUUUCUUUCCCAUGGACACUUUAUUCUUUUUCACAAGCAGUUCCAGGUGGCUGGGAGCCUCCAACACUGGGCCCCUCUGUCAUCCCCGCCCCUUGCUUGGGAUUCUGGGCCAUGGCCCCACCCUGAGGGUCUCAGGGAGGCCAGGACAGCAGCCAUGCCCAGUGACUGGUGGGAGAGGCGGGCCCCACCCUCCUUCAUCCCCACUUCCCUCUCACUACUUUCUGCCCUAGGUGGGCCCAGCCCUUGGCACUCUGGCUGAGGGACACAGGGACAGAGGGAGGCAGCCAUUGUCCCCUGACAUCAGCUCCUGUGGGGUGCAGGGUGUGGGACCCCGGCCCCACCCAUGAGGGCAACUCCCCCUGCCCUGGGGGCCUUCAUCCAUUGAUGAAAUGUCCUGGCAGCUCUGGAGUCUGGGCGCCCAGCCUGGGAAGUUAGCGCUGGAGGAAGGUAUCUCUGGCACCACAUGCAUUGAAGAAGAGAUGGUAUCCUGUUACAAAACCAGGAGUGUCAGUGACAACCAUGUGUCUGAGGAUACAGACAAUACAGAAAAAUAUCCUGGGUAUGAAAUGGUUCUUGUUCCACAUUACAAGGGAUGCUCUGGAGUCCCGGGGGGAGGUGCUACAACCAAGGUCUAAUACUGAGUCCUCUACUCUCCCUUGUAGUCCCAGGUGGGUCACUGGGCCUCUCUGAACUUCAGCUUCUUCAUCCACCAAUUUAGUACAAUGGUAAUACCUUCCCUACUGAUUCUGCCAUGGUGUUGAUAAGAUCAAAUGAGAUGUAUAUGAAAGUGAAUAAUAAAACAUAAUUUGUGUUGAAUAUUCUCA